rnacentral:rRNA from 1 species
CGGAGAGGUAGCAUGAGGAACGGCUACCACUUCUAAGGAAGGCAGCAGGCGCGCAAAUUACCCAAUCCUGACUCAGGGAGGUAGUGACAAGAAAUAACAAUAAACCGGCUUAUGCCGGUUUAAUUGGAAUGAGUACAAUUUAAACAUCUUAACGAGGAACAAUUGGAGGGCAAGUCUGGUGCCAGCAGCCGCGGUAAUUCCAGCUCCAAUAGCGUAUACUAAAGUUGUUGCAGUUAAAAAGCUCGUAGUUGGAUUUCUGCGGGGACGGAGCGGCCGGACGCAACUUGCGUCCCGAGCUAGCGCUUUCCCCGCAUCCUGCCGCGAACCGUGCUACCAUUAGUUUGGUGGCGCCGGGGAUCGGCUCGAUUACUCUGAGAAAAAUAGAGUGUUCAAAGCAGGCCACACGCCUUGAAUAAGUUAGCAUGGAAUAAUGACUAAGGACUUUGGUUCUUUUCGUUGGUGUUCGGGACUGAAGUAAUGAUUGAUAGGGACAGUUGGGGCGGUCCGUAUUCCAAAGCGAGAGGUGAAAUUCUUAGACCUUCGGAAGACGAACAGCUGCGAAAGCGUUCCGCAAGGAUGUUCCCUUUGAUCAAGAACGAAAGUUGGGGGAUCGAAGACGAUCAGAUACCGUCGUAGUCUCAACUAUAAACUAUACCAGCUAGGGAUCGGCCAACGUUUAACUUUAUCGACUUGGUCGGCACCUUAUGAGAAAUCAAAGCAUCUGGGUUCCGGGGGGAGUAUGGUCGCAAGGCUGAAACUUAAAGGAAUUGACGGAAGGGCACCACCAGCCGUGGAGCCUGUGGCUUAAUUUGACUCAACACGGGAAAACUUACCAGGUCCAGACAUAGGAAGGAUUGACAGAUUGAUAGCUCUUUCUUGACUCUGUGGGUGGUGGUGCAUGGCCGUUUUUAGUCGGUGGAUGUGAUCUGUCUGCUUAAUUGCGUUAACGGACGAGACCCCAGCCUGCUAAAUAGCGCGGCCGAGCUUUGCUCGGUGCGAGCUUCUUAGAGGGACCAUGAUGCGCGAUAGCACAAGGAAGUUUGGGGCAACAACAGGUCUGUGAUGCCCUUAGAUGUUCUGGGCCGCACACGGGCUACACUGGCGCCUGCAACGAGCAUAUCAGCUGGCCCGAGAGGGUCUUGGCUAAUCUUUGGAACCGGCGCCGUGCUUGGGAUUGACCAUUGCAAUUGUUGGUCAUGCAACGAGGAAUGCCUUGUAAACGCGAGUCAUCAGCUCGCAUUGAAUACGUCCCUGCCCUUUGUACACACCGCCCGUCGCUCCUACCGAUGAAUGUUCCGAUGAAAUUUUCGGAGAGCACCAGAGAACGGGGCUUCGCCUUGCAGAACUGGAGGCUCAAAGUCACUUAAAUCUGAACAUUUCGAGGAAGGAGAAGUCGUAACAAGGUAACC